AGAUUUUCUCUACAACUAUGCCUGCACAGAGAUUAGAAUUCUUUCAUGCAGGUAGUAGCAAAUGAACUACUAACCCUCUGCUGUGCUUCUGCAAGAUAUUUCUGCUUGUUUUUACUCGUUGCUGCAUUACCUUUAACUUCUGUUUCUGAGGCCAUAAUUCUGUCAUGUCCUAGUUUGAUUUGAAUGUUGUCCGGUUUACACAAGUGAUUUAUACCAACAAUACCGGAGCAUCUGGUUUCAACCUUUUCUUAUAUGGACUUAUAGAAUUGCCAUUUCAUGUUGCUGCUUAUAGAGGAGUUUUAUCGAUGACCAUUCUAGUUUUAGUCUGUUUCGUUAAACAUUUUCUCAGCAUGUCACUUGGUGUCUGCCAAACUUGCGUAAACAUGUAACUGGCCAUUAGCUACUAGUAUUAUAAUUUGGCAGCUUUAAACUAUACCACUAUAGGUAGUACGCUUUGUGUGGAGUAUUUUGUUUUCAAUUUUGGCCACUACUGAUGUUUAAUAAUUAAUACUUCGAGUAUUGUGAGUACUUCAUAAGAAACACAUGAUCAAAAUAAAAUGACUAGAUUCACCAAAAAACUGCCUUUUAUCAAUAAUGCCUUUUUUUACUAGCAUGUUAUCAUUGAAAUAGUGGUGAAAGUAUUGAUUGAUACUGUAUAGUGUAAAAAAGAAGUCAUUUGGAUCGAAAGAAGUUUCUUGUAUGGUAAAAAGAAGGCUUGUACUGCAGGAAUUUGAUGAAAUUUGAUAUGUUAGUAACCAGACGGCUAUGCCUAUGAGCUAGAAACCAGGAAUUUGAGCCUCUACGCAGACCAAAUGUAGCCAAAAACUCAUAAUGUUAUAAAUGUUAGUUCUGUCUAAUAAUGCCGAGAUGCUUCAACUUUGGAGUUUUUUGACAGUUUCCACAAUUCUGUAGCUCAUAUUUUCUUUUUCUGUCAUUGAAAAUUAUGAGAGCAACUCCAACAGCAUUUCCUGAUUGUUGACUGAUGAUAUUACUUGCUCUGCAGGAAUCUACAGUUACAUUCUGUUGGCUGAGAUGCAGAAAUGGGUUGUCAAGUGUAGUUUAUUCCACCUUUAUGCUCGGCGCUGAGAUUGAACCCAUAUGUAGCAUGCACACUCUUCAGCUCUGAAGUGAACAUGUAGGAAUCCGUCGCUUGAUUUGCUAAUUUCCGUAGACAUUCAUCGACUGGCAUGAAGGUGCAUUGGCCUGCUUCGAUUAACUAGUACCUUGUGGUUCGCUUAAUUUGCCUUGUGAGGCAAGCAUGUUGUCGUGAGCUUAACUAUCAACUGAUCUUGCUU
rnacentral:lncRNA from 1 species